CCUACGGGAGGCAGCAGUAGGGAAUCUUCCACAAUGGGCGAAAGCCUGAUGGAGCAACGCCGCGUGGGUGAAGAAGGUCUUCGGAUCGUAAAACCCUGUUGUUAGAGAGGAAAGUGCGUGAGAGUAACUGAUCACGAUUCGACGGUAACUAACCAGAAAGCCACGGCUAACUACGUGCCAGCAGCCGCGGUAAUACGGAGGUGGCAAGCGUUAUCCGGAUUUAUUGGGCGUAAAGGGAACGAAGGCGGUCUUUUAAAUCUGAUGUGAAAGCCUUCGGCUUAACCGGCGUAGUGCAUUGGAAACUGGUAGGCUCGAGUGCAGAAGAGGAGAGUGGAACUCCAUGUGUAGCGGUGAAAUGCGUAGAUAUAUGGAAGAACACCAGUGGCGAAAGCGGCUCUCUGGUCUGUUACUGACGCUGAGGUUCGAAAGCGUGGGUAGCAAACAGGAUUAGAUACCCGGGUAGUC
rnacentral:rRNA from 1 species